ACGUUACCCGCAGAAGAAGCACCGGCUAACUCCGUGCCAGCAGCCGCGGUAAUACGGAGGGUGCAAGCGUUAAUCGGAAUUACUGGGCGUAAAGCGCACGCAGGCGGUCUGUCAAGUCGGAUGUGAAAUCCCCGGGCUCAACCUGGGAACUGCAUUCGAAACUGGCAGGCUUGAGUCUUGUAGAGGGGGGUAGAAUUCCAGGUGUAGCGGUGAAAUGCGUAGAGAUCUGGAGGAAUACCGGUGGCGAAGGCGGCCCCCUGGACAAAGACUGACGCUCAGGUGCGAAAGCAUGGGGAGCAAACAGGAUUAGAUACCCUGGUAGUCCACGCCGUAAACGAUGUCUACUUGGAGGUUGUGCCCUUGAGGCGUGGCUUCCGGAGCUAACGCGUUAAGUAGACCGCCUGGGGAGUACG
rnacentral:rRNA from 1 species